rnacentral:misc_RNA from 1 species
AGUUUGACCGUAAGCAAAAAUGCAUACCUUGUAACCAUCAAGCGCACUCUGUAUCAGUUGAGAUAUUUCUACAAAAACAUCUUGCUGAGAAGCAUCAUGACUAAACACCUUGUCAAAUGUGAAAGGAUAUUUCUGCCCACUUUGUAUCAAGUCAAUUCCCCGACCAAGAGUUUCUACUGACGUAGGAUAAGAAAUAACAGGCGCUUCUGUUCCAACACUAUCAUCUGGUAACGAAGGUCGCACUCUACAGAACACUCGAAUAUUCCCCUUUAAUUCCAAGAUAGUGUUAUGCAGCUUUUUCCUUAAUUUUUCUCCUUCGAUUAAUUGAUGUUCUGCUUCCAUAAGGCGCUCUUGCAGGUCUCGUGUAGUUCUUCUUUGUUCUUCAAAUUCUGUCCUUGCUUCUUCUGUUGAUAGAUCAGCCAUCUUUAACUUCUCAUUAGCAGCAGUUAACUGGUGCUCUAAUAAAUGUAUACGCUCUCUUUGAGUAGAACAUGUCUCCUGCACCAGAAAACCUAGUCUCAGAAAUUGGGAAUCUGUAUGUGUAGAACUUAGGAAGUGGUCUGAGCAAACCUCCAAGGAUUUUGUUUUUGCCAUCAAAUUAUCUAUCUCGGCAAAUGAUUUGCCUGUGCUUUCUUUAUACUUCAAAACUUCAGCUGUUAAAGCUUGCACCUGUGCUGUUUGGCGAUCACGAUCAUCUCUGACUUGCUGCAGUUCCCCUCGAAGGCAUUUGACUUCAUUAACUAAUGAUUCUUUCUGAUUCAUAGCCUCAUCUUGGGAAGCUCUGGAUAAAGUUAAUUGAUCUUGUAAUGAACUGUAGUGACCCCUUAAAGUACUAAGGUUCUCCACUAUAGUUGCUUUCUCUUUUUCCACUCGUUUGAGAGACUCGCGAGCAGUUUCAAGUUCAGCAUGCAGUUUGCUAUUGUACUGCUGUAGACUUAGGUUGUACUCUUGCAAUCGCUUAUACAUAUCAUCAAGUGAUGUAGCCCUCUGAUUAGCUGCCAAUAUAUCUUGCUGAGCUUUUUCAAGCUCUUUUGAGAGAGAAGCCUGCAAAGUUUCUACAGCAAUCCGAGCUUCUUUUUCUCUUGUAUGACAAUCAAUUGCAUCCAAUUUUUCUGAUUCUUCUUUUGUGAGUUUCUCCUGUAAAGAAGUAUUAUCCUUCCUUAAUUGGGAAAUAACUUCAUUAAAGCUCUCUUCCUUGUUUUUCAUCUCAACCUCCGAAUCAGCACAUCUUUUCUCGGAAGACUGCAAAGCAUUUCGAAGCUUCCCCUGCUCAUCAACGUGGGCUUCAUCUCUUUUCUGGAACCAUUUGAUGCAAAGCUUGAGCCUGUUAUUAAGCUCAUUCACUAGUUCCAAGUUGCCCUUGUGAUCAAACUUCUUCAUUUUGGGCUUCUCAUUCACCAAUGCUUCAACUUCUUCUUUUGUGAACUCGAUGUUCUCACUCUCCGAACCCUCAGUGCUGCCUACAUCACCAGAUGCAGUAACAUCCUGCCUUUUGUUAACUGACCCAAACGGCUUGCGGUCAGUACUGGUUGGUCCCCCAAUUCUUCCUGCACCAAUCCUCCUACGCUUGUCUAAUGGGACACCACCACCACCUCCUCCACCGCCAACACCAUCCUUAGCUGAAGGGCUUCGAGGAGGUCUGUUCUGGUUCCGAGAAGCCAUAAUCUGAACUAUAAGAAAACUAAGCCGAACUCAAAGCAGAAGGUUUCAACAGAUUCCUAUGUGGUGCAUUCAAGGAGGUCAAGAUUCAAUUGGAGCCGUUGAUUUCCCUGAUGAAAGGAAGAGUUCGAAAUCAGUAGAGUAGGAAUCUGGAGGCAGAGAGAGAGGGAGAGGGGAGGAGGGGAGCGCUGCUUUGUG